rnacentral:rRNA from 1 species
ACGUAAUAGAUACCCAGGUAGUCCACGCCCUAAACGAUGUCUACUAGUUGUUGGUGGAGUAAAAUCCAUGAGUAAACGCAGCUAAACGCGUGAAGUAGACCGCCUGGGGAGUACGGUCGCAAGAUUAAAAACUCAAAGGAAUUGACGGGGGCCCGCACAAGCGGUGGAUUAUGUGGAUUAAAUUCGAUGCAACGCGAAAAACCUUACCUGGCCUUGACAUGCCACUAACGAAGCAGAGAUGCAUUAGGUGCCCGUAAAGGGAAAGUGGACACAGGUGCUGCAUGGCUGUCGUCAGCUCGUGUCGUGAGAUGUUGGGUUAAGUCCCGCAACGAGCGCAACCCUUGCCAUUAAUUGCCAUCAUUUAGUUGGGCACUUUAAUGGGACUGCCGGUGACAAACCGGAGGAAGGUGGGGAUGACGUCAAGUCCUCAUGGCCCUUAUGGCCAGGGCUUCACACGUAAUACAAUGGUCGGUACAGAGAGUUGCCAACCCGCGAGGGGAGGCUAAUCUCAGAAAGCCGAUCGUAGUCCGGAUUGUUCU